rnacentral:other from 1 species
UUCCCUGGAAUGUGCGUAGGGAGAUGUUGGUGCCGGCCUCACAAGCGUCAUUAGGGAGCCGAGCGCCGAAAUGGUGAGCAAGCCCGGUUGAACGGGAAGCCUGAAGUUUCGGCUAGGCGCCCACCUGAGACCCCAGGUCUCGUGCCCGCAUCUUUCCACGGCAUUCCGGGGUU